GACGUAGGGCGCGAGCGUUGUCCGGAUUUAUUGGGCGUAAAGAGCUCGUAGGCGGCUUGUCGCGUCGACCGUGAAAACUCACAGCUCAACUGUGAGCUUGCGGUCGAUACGGGCAGGCUCGAGUUCGGUAGGGGAGACUGGAAUUCCUGGUGUAGCGGUGAAAUGCGCAGAUAUCAGGAGGAACACCGGUGGCGAAGGCGGCUUGCUGGGCCAGUUCUGACGCUGGAGGAGCGAAAGCGUGGGGAGCGAACAGG
rnacentral:rRNA from 1 species